CUGUAUCAAGCUAGUGAACUAUCCAUACGAAUGUCUAUGUGAAGAACUGUCCACUCAGUGCAAAGAGUGGGUACAAAGCCCUUAAAGUAUAAACAUUGCCUGGAAUAUUUGAAAAACUGCAAGGGACUCAUAAUGGUUGGAGAAAAGUAAAUGAGGAACAAGUAUUUAGAGAUUUCCAAAAAGGUCAGAUCAUGCAUGGCAUUCUAACUUACAGGAAAACAAAGAACUUUGGCUUUUUAGUGCUAAGAGAAGCCACUGAAGCCACUAAAGUCAUGAGAGGAUUGAUAUGACAUGAAUUUUGUUUAAAAAGUACCACUGUGGCUGCUGUAUUUGGAAUAUAUUUAGGAGGACACAAACAAAACUAGAGAUAUCUGUUAGGAGCUAGUUGUAAGCAGGCAAGAAAGAGAUGAUGGUGAUUUUUUAGGGUAGUAGCAGUGUAGGUAAUAACUAGUGAAACCGUGAAUAUAUUUUGCCAAUAAAUUGGAUGAAGAAAGAGAAAAGGUAUCAAAAAUGACCUCGAGUUUUUUGGCUCACACAACUGAAAUAAUGAGGCUACCACUGAUGGAAAUGGAGCUGUUUCUUUUGAGGUGGAUGGACAGUAGGAGCAAUGUUUGUAACAUAUUAAGUUUCAGAUGCCUAUUAGACAUCACAGUUGUGAAGUAGACAGUUAUAUAUGAGGGUCUGAAGUUCAGGGUUAGAGGUCCAAGAUGGAGAUAUAAAUGUGAGAAACCUCAGAAUACAGAUGAUAUUUAAAAACCAUGAGAAUGGAUCAAAUAAUGAAACGAGUGUUGAAUAGAAAAGGUAGAAUAUAUAGAACAGAAUAGAGAAUAUAUUCUCUAUAUAGAAUACAGAAAUGGUACAGGAGAUGCCAACAUUUAGAGAAUGAGAAGGGACCAUCAAAAGUGGCUGAAGAUCCAGAAAAGUGGGAGGGAUACCAGGAGAGUGUGGUAUCCUGGGAGCCAAUGAUGAAGAGGUUUCUAGAAGGAGAUGGCAUAAACAAUGGCAAAGGAUGCUAAUAGGUCAACUGAGACAAAGCCUGAGAACAGACAAAGUAGCUUCAGUGAUGUCAUUGACGACCAUGACAAAGAGCAGAGUGGUGCAGUUGAAAAUCUACUCAGAUUGAGGUUGAGAGAAGCUGCCACUGUAGUGACCAGCUUUGCAAGGACCUGGACUGACUUCACACAGAUGCAACAUGACAGCCCUGCGCCCUGGACCGAAGCCACACCACCCCCCUGUCUCCUAUCCUGUGGGCUGCUCUGUUGACAUUGCUUUGGGACAUUAACUCUGAAAUCUCAUCACUGUCAUCAAUAAAAAAGCAUGGCAAUCUGUUCCUUUUCA
rnacentral:lncRNA from 1 species